CGCCAAGCCAGCAUGGCCUUGCGGCCGCCGUGCAGUCCAAGUCGAGAACUCAGCAGUCCCAGGCGACGGCCGCCUGCUUCUCCACGGGAACGCGGCAAUGCCCAAGCCGCAAGGAUGUCUCCAUACUAAUUUCCACACUCCAGCACGUCCCGCUUAUUACAGGUGGCCCGGAACCGUCAAGGAAGGCCGCUUUCACGACACUUUCACGACACCCAGCAGCUUGGGCGCCCCCGGACGGCAGCGGCAAGCAUGUGCAGCUAAAGCUGGCGAGUUCGUUCGCCCUGCAGCUCUUUCGCCUUCAGGCUAAGAAGAAUGACAGGCAGAGAAAACCAGGAGCGAGUGCCACGUGGCCAUAGGAAGCCAGUCAUCUCAGGCCUCGACCCGAAAGCCUCUGGUGCCAAGUUGCCCUCAGUGCUGGGCUUGAAUCCAGGGCCUCCCAGGCAAGGGCAGUACCAGUGGAACAGCACCGAGUUCCUGUCAAAUGGCAAUCAACAGUUUUGCAGUCUUUCCACCAUCCUCCUUCAGUCUAGUCUGAAAGCAUACAAUCAUCUUAAGGUUGUUCUUAAAGCUUGAAUUAAAUUUAACGAUUAUAGAUUUGAGGAACAUUUUAUCAAGACCAUUUUAAACUUUGUUUUGUUUUUGGAGACCAGAUCUCUUCAUAUGGCCCUGACUGGUCUGGAACUUGCUUUGCAGACCAGGUUGGGCUUCCACUCGAAGAUAUGCCUGACUCUGUCUCCCAAGGGCCAGAAUUAAAGGCAUCUACUACCAUGCCUCGCUAUCUUUAAUUUCUUGUGCACCCAUUGGAACACUGCUGUUAAGAGAAAAAGCUAGGGACUAGAGAAAUGGCUCAGUGGUUGAAAGCACUGGCAGCUCUUCAGAAGACCCAGAUUAGAUCUUAGCACCCACAUGGUGGCUCUUAAUCUAACUCUAGUUCCAGGAGUUCUGAUUCCCUCUUCUGCCUUCCAUAGAACCAGGCACACAGAUGCCACAGACAUAUAUUCAGGCAAAACGUUAAAAAUUAAGAAGAUCUUUAAGAUUCCAAACAUGUUAAAUAGGAAAAAAAUCCACAUUAUACAUUAAAAGAAAAUCCAAGGAUGUUAUUUUAACAAUGUUAAGACGUUAUUUUUAAACUACCAUUGGAACGGUUCAUCUCAAAAACUUGGGAUAAUUCUGGCGAGAAGAAGGCAAAGGGAAGAAGAAGCAGAGACCAGAGCCUUUGUAGUGAGACAGUGGUGGGUGGUAGCCAGCAAGAGAUGAAACCCGUGGGGUUUGGGCUAGAGGGUACCUGAUGGUUUCUUUGGAGUUACAAAAGCUGCCUGGCUGGAAGAUGUAAACCGCUUUAGCUAUUUGUUUAUUUAUUUGGUUUUUCGAGACAGGGUUUCUCUGUAUAGCCUUGGCUGUCCUGGAACUCACUACAUAGACCAGGCUGGCCCCAAAUUCAAGAUACCUCACCUGCCUCUGCCUCCUAAGUGCUGGGAUUAAAGGUGUGCACCACAAUCACCCCAUGUUCAGCUGUUAGUUUGGUACUGUGACAACAGAUACCAAAGAAACAAAUACAGAAUAUAAGAAAACAUUCAGCCGUUUCUCAUAAUUAGGCUUAUAGUCUCUUAUGUAACAGUCUUACCCUUAGACAUAACGACCUGAUAGGGCCAUCUUUCUUUGAAUGAUUGUGCAUUUCAUCUUCCUCUUUCAUGAAAAGCUACUAUGCAUUGACUUUUCUGAAAUAGGCUUUUCGUUCUAUUAACAAAUUAUCAGCUCUUCUUGCCCUUCAACACUCUAGGCUGGGCAAGGUCAGGUGCUCGCCUUUAAUUCCAGCACUCAGGAGGCAGAGGCAGGCAGCUCUCUGAGGUCCAGGCCAGACUGGCUUACAAAGCAAGUUUCCAGGACAGCCAGAGCUGUGACACAGAGAAACCCUGCCUGGAAAACCAAAAAACGAAUCCCCAGCUGGUGAGACAACUCAACUGGGAUCAACUGACUCAAUUCUCUGAGUUCACAAGAACACCAUGACACCCGUUGCCACCCUCCCCCAAAAUUAAGCAUAGAGAAAAACAUCUUUUAAAAGUAGACAUCACCAUAUUGAACUGUAGAUCCAGUUCAGUGUCCCUAGGUUCAAUUCACUACAUCAUUAUAUUUAGACUAACAACUACCAUUUGCUUCAAGUUAGGCCUUAAUAUUUUUAUGGUAUUUUGUGGCAUUUUAUCCCACAUUUCAUUUUCAUUUUGGAUGUAUUAUCAGUUAAAUGCACAUUAUAAAAUAUGAGUAUUUGUUUUA